UCAACUAUAUCGCCGGUCUGGAGCAUGUCGCCAGUCCAUUCGUCGGCUUUGGAACUACCUUUGAGACACUCGAUAGAAAGGACUUUGAUGGGUUUGGGGUCUCUGGAUGGGGUUUCGGGUGGUGAAGUUCGGUCCAUGGUCAUUUUGGUCCUGUUUUCGAUGAUUAGUCUCUUGAUAGUACGCUCAUGGUCUGUUGAUUCUGCUUAAUCCACAACCGAACAGGAACACUGAGAGAGAGAAUCAAUUCGAAUCAGUUGGAAUCUGUUUAAAAGUAAUUCGAGAAUCUGGGGAUAUGAAUCAGAAAUGGUUUUGCGAGAGAGGGUUUAAGCUAUAAGGAAGUUG
rnacentral:misc_RNA from 1 species